rnacentral:lncRNA from 1 species
CAUGAGUCCCUGGCCUCCCAAGCCCCAGUUAGAAUGCAUGGUCUCCACUUCUGCAUCUCACAGUCAUAUAUAAAAGAAUAUCCUAUGUGCUAUUACUUAGAAUAAAUUGCAAACUUUGUAUGAAGGCUUAAAAGAACUCCACGGCCUUCCCUAUCUGGCCCUGACUUCAUCGCACACAACUCUCCCACAGCCCACUGCUUUGGCUAUGACAACCUCCAUUCAGUUCCUUCAAUAUUAACAGAUACUAUUCCUUCUACCUGGAAUGCUGGUGUUUCCACUCUUUUGGGGCAAUUAGCUGGCUUUUCUUAUGGAUUAAGUUUUGUCUCAAAGGUUUUCUGAGAUAUCCCUGAGGAUGCUAAGUUGAUGUGGCCUCCCACUUCCAUUAUGCACUAUCACACUCCUUCUCUCCUUCAUUGCAUAUGUUUUGCAAUUUAUAUAUAUAUAUUUAAUGUUAUUUUCUGUUUUCCCUCUACUAGACUGGAAAGCCCCAUGACAGCAAUGAUCAAAUCUAUUAAGUUAUCUCCAAUCCCUAUCAUAUUAUAGGUAUACUACAAAUAUUUCUUAAAUAAAUCAAUUAUUCUUUUUAUUUUUCUUUUGAGACAGGGUCUCAGUCUGUCACCCAGGCUGGAAGGCAGGGGUGUGAUCAUAGCUUACUGCAGCCUCAAACUCCUAGGUUCCGGCAAUCCUCCUGCCUCAGCCUCACAAGUACCUAGGAUUUCAGGCGUACGCCACCAUACCUGGCUAAUUUUCUUUCUUUUUUUUUGAGAGACGAGAUCUCCCUGUGUUGACCAUGCUGGUGUAAAACUGCUGGGCUCAAGGGAUCCUCCCACCUUGGCCUUCCAAGUGCUGGAAUGAUAGGCAUGAGCCACUGUGCCCAGGCCAAUAAUGCCAAAGAAAACCCACCAAAGAAAGUUAAACUGGGAGAGACAGGAUGGAAUGAGUGAAUCAUUCUGGAAAAUGAAUAGCACAAGUAGCUAAAAGUCAACACAAAUAGAGGAGGAGAAAAAAAACACUUUAUGAAAGCAAUGGACUAUAUAUCCACAGCUCUGGACUGGCCUUUCAGCUGAAGAAUGAAGCCAAUCAAAAGAAUUCUGACUUAGAGGGUUUCAGAGCAGUAACACAAAAUGUACAGAAAAUCUGGCCAGUUUCAAACAAAAGUGAUGGUUUAUUAAGUACCCAACAGAUAACCAGGCACUUUGCCUCUGGUUCUCAUAAAACCUUUCAUGAGCACUGGGCAUUCAUCAUGUCAACAGUCAUUUAACAAACUAUUACUGAAAGUAUGAUGUCCAGUGAGCUCAGGGAAGGUUUAUAUUGUGGAUCAUUAUUGUAUUUUUGGUAUAUGAUACUGCCCUGAUACAUUAAAAAAUGCUCAAUAAAUAUCUGUUGAGCAUCUGUUCUUAAAAGACUAAAGUCAGAGUAUUAGACAGGUAGGAAAAUAAUUCUGAAAAUGGUAUCAUCUAUCUAGCAUGGUCCCCAAAGUUUAGCAUGCAUGGAAAUCACCUGACAGAAGGUUACACAGCACAGACUGCUGGCCUCCCUUCCCACAUUUUUUGAUGCAGUAGAUCCAGGGAGGGGACUGACAAUUUCCAUUUCUAAUAAGCUCCCAGGUGAUGCUGCUGCUGCUGGUUGUGAAAUGCUAAUUGCUUUUUUUCUUUCUUCUUCUUUUUUUUUUUUUUUUUUGAGGUUGUUGUUCUCUAGCUUUUCCUGCUAGAAAAUACUGAUUCCUUAUCAGGAACUUAUCCUCUGCUAUCUACUAUUUUGUAUAAAAUAUCAAGGGAACAAAAGGCUGUUUGAUAAGAACAAACGUUUUCAAAUUGUUUUACUUACGUUUAUUUAAAAGAAAGCAUUUUUCUCAAUCUAUUUUAUUAUUACAGUGAAGAUGAAACAUUGAGCAUAGCUAGCAAAUGCUUCUUUAAAGCUUGAUUUAGAUAUUCAGGUUCCUAACAUUUGUUUUUUUGGUUUUUUUUUGAGAUGGAGUCUUGCUCUGUUGCCCAGGCUGGAGUGCAGUGGCGUGAUCUCGGCUCACUGCAAGCUCCGCCUCCCGGGUUCACGCCAUUCUCCUGCCUCAGCCUCCCAAGUAGCUGGGACUACAGGCGCCCGCCACCACGCCCAGCUAAUUUUUUGUAUCUUUUAGUAGACACAGGGUUUCACCGUGUUAGCCAGGAUGGUCUCGAUCUCCUGAUCUCGUGAUCUGCCCACCUCGGCCUCCCAAAGUGCUAGGAUUACAGGUGUGAGCCACUGUGCCGGGCCAUCAGGUUCCUAACAUUUGGCAAAGUAAUGUGAUAGUGACAGAUCCCAAAAGAUAAAAACAUGGGCAACAUGUCAUACUAUGCACACGGAAAACCAAAAUCAAGCCAAAAUAGGACACAACUUCAUUCACUAGGUCCCUGAAGACCUCCAGCUUUCUGUUUGCAUCCUUAUCACAAAACCUAGGAUAGUUACAAUAAAAAAGAUAACAAGUGUUGGUGAGGAUAUGGAGAAGCUGGGACCCUCAUACAAUGCUGCUGAGACUGUAAAAUGGUGUAGCCAUUUUGGAAAACAGUCUGACAGCUCCUCAAAAGAUUAAGCAUAGUUACCACAUGACCCAGAAAUUCUAUUCCUGAAUAAUAUCCAAAGGAACUGUCCACACAAAAACUCAUAGAUAAAUGUUCACAGCAGCAUUAUUUGUUAUAGCAAAAAAGUGGAAGCAACCCAAAUGUCUAUCAACCAAUGAAUGAAUAAACAAAAUGUGGCAUAUCCAUGCAAUGGAAUUUACCCAGCAAUAAAAGUACAUGAAGUACUGAUACAUGCUACAACAUACAUGAACCUUAAAAAUGCUAUGUUCAGUGAAAGAAGCCAGUCAUACAAUAUGUGGUCACGAAACCAUAUUGUAUAAUUCCAUUUAUAUGAAAUGUUCAAAACAGACAACUCCAUAAAGAAUAGGGUGGUUAGUGGUUGCUCUGAGUUGUGGGGAAUGGGGGGAUUGGAGGAUCAUAGCUAAAGGAUACAGGGUUUCUUUCUGGAGUAAUGUAAAUGUUCUAAAAUUAAUUGUGAUGACUGCAUAAAUCUGAAUAUACUAAAAAUCAUUAAACUGUACACUUUAAAUGGGCAAACUACAUGAGUGUGAAUUAUGUAUCAAUAAAGCUAUUACAAAAUCAAACCAACCAACCAAGAGAGACAAAUUUUGAAAAAUAUAAGAAUGGGACAGAUAGAUAUAUCAGAGGAACAAAAAAAC